rnacentral:tRNA from 1 species
GCGCCCGUAGCUCAGCUGGAUAGAGCGUUGGCCUCCGAAGCCAAAGGUCGUGCGUUCGAAUCGCGCCGGGCGCGCCA